rnacentral:tRNA from 1 species
GCCGGAGUGGCGAAAUGGUAGACGCGCCAGGCUUAGGACCUGGUGGGCGCAAGCCCGUAGAGGUUCGAGUCCUCUCUCCGGCA